UUUUUGGGGAGAAAUAAGAGACUGUUAGAAGGAGCAAAUAAAUGGCAAUGCAUAAACUACAGAUCCCAUAAUGCACUGUGAGGUCUGUACCCACUAUAAGGCUAUUACUGGAAGUGAGGGAGCCUGACUGCUGUUGCGUGUGCUAUUUAGCUGACAAAAAUGUUGGACAACCAGGCUGUAGACUUUUAUCACUGGCAUGUGGAAAGGGCCUUGAUCUCCCAUGAUGCACUAUAAGGGUUGACCAUAAGAGGUAGGUAGCGUUUGUAUUGCUUAUAAUGUCAUGAUGAGGGCUGGCUUGUAACAGGACUACAGAUCCCAUCAUGCUCUAUCAUUCCUUGGUUAUAUCAAUACAGGGGUCAUAUUCUAUUGAAUCCAUUUCCCCCUGCAUGUACCCAGUGUGGCUGCUUCCCAUAACCAGCUCUGCUCUGAUCAGUGCCCCCUGCACCCAUAAUGCCAGGAAUCCUAAGGGCAGACAUUUAUUCUUCUGAUUUGUGCUACUUGUCUUUCUACUUAAGCCUCUCUGAACCGUCCCCCCACUCUAGUGCUGAGGCCACUGACUGUCGCUACGAUGAGUGUGACCGUUGGCAAAUGACCGUUGGCAAAUGACAGUUGGAAAAUGACCGUUGGCAUUUACAGCAGAGGCAGAGAAAAUUGUCUAAUGGUUCAGAAAAAAACAAUAAAAACAAGUAAACCAAACACCCGUUGCCUUAGAACUAGAAGUUUUUCUGCUCUCACUCCCAUUAGAGAGGCAGAUGGGGAGAUUUUAGGCACUUUGACACCCACAUGUGUUAGUAGAUUGGGGGGCAGGGCUGCCAUCAGAAGCCCAUUUUCAGCUGAUUCCCUGUAUAAGUGUAAUAUGUAGGUGUCUGUAUCCAAAUAAAAAGACAAGUCAGUAUUAAUGGAAUAUAUGUUCAGUGCCUCUCAACAGGCUGCAGUCCCAGUGUACAAUUACAGACAUGUCACAUGUAAAUAAAGUAAUAGCCAGAGAGCACAAUGGAUCUUAUACCAUCAUAGUGUAUUUAUUGCAGGAAAGUCAUGCCAAGUUGCCUUAAAUGACUCCCCCCUUUCCUGCUUGUCACACACAUGUCAUUUGGAACAGUUUCAUGACAAGCAGCUCCCCAAGCAAUUAGAGUGCUAGGCAAUGGGACAAUUUUGGCAGCGAUGGCCCCACUACCCAAGCUGCUAUAAAUGAUGGGUGACAAAACACCCGAAAUUGCCCUUUAUAUCAUCUAAAUAUGCCCCCCUGCUCCCCAUAAAUGGAUCUGCUGCACUUACCUCUGAGUCCAGAAAUGAAAUAACGGUCAUCUGUACCUGAGCCGUUACAUCACCUUCCUUGCAGCUUUCAGCCAAUCAGAGCUGAGCUGGGAGUGAUGUCACGGAGAUAAGGCAUGAUAUCCCAGUAACUGACAGCCAAUCACAUGCUCAAGUACAGAUCAAACUUGCACAGUCUAAAACAACACUAAUAAAGUCCAAACAUAAGCAGCUUUAGAAGCAGCGCCCCCAUCAGAUCUCCUGGGACCCCUGACUGGACUCCCCCUGUCCCCAUUUAGAUCUGUGUCUGUCACUGAACUACAGCUCAGCUACUAGUUAUCACAGGGACUGCUGGGUAGUUUAGCAAUGGCUAGAGACAUACACAGAUCAGUGAGACAGUGAUGGGGGCAACCACUGAGGGGGUACAGGGGGUUCUGCAUUCAGCGUAGCAAGUGUAACUUUAGUACCAAAUGUCACAUAUAGAACAAAAAGUUUGAUCCUGUUGUGCCACAUAUUCCUGUAUGUUUCACUAGCAGGGAGGAUGCUGGGAGUUGUAUGCCCCAGUAUCUAAAAUAACAUCUUUUCUAUCGCUGCCGGCCCAGUCCGACCCUGUAUGUUGUUGAUCCACAUCUUGGCUUUUGGGCUGGAAGCUGUAGCCCUGAUCCAAUGGACUGUUAAUUGCCUAUGACAAAACUUCAAUAACCCUCAAACUGACUUUUAUACAAAGGGAAGUAUUCUUAGAGACUGUGGAAUUAUGGGAGAUAAGCAUAUGAGCUCACACUCUGGUUUGCUUCCCCUUUAUCCAUAGCUAAGCAUGGUGUAACUCCCAUUUUCUCCACAGAUGAAGGAGUAUCACAGAAGGCGACCACUCCAGCACCAACGGGAGGAAAGAAAAAGUCAAGAGAAUCCUGGAAUAUCUGGAGAAGGAAAUAUUUACUAACAACCUCACUGCCCAGUUCAACACUACCAGCCGCCGACUGAUUGGCCCUCACCCCAGUGUUACCUCCUGUCUCCUCCAUUCAGACGUCGGUGAUGCACAGACCUGGGACUUGUCUUCACUUUUCUGGAUGAAGGAGUAUCACAGAAGGCGACCACUCCAGCACCAACGGGAGGAAAGAAAAAGUCCAGAGAAUCAUUUUCCGUGGACAAUGAAAAACAAAAAUCUGGGUGAAUCUGGGAUACAUUUUCCUGGAGAAAUGAUGAGGAUAUUAGAAGUCACUGAGGGGUUGUUCUGUGACCAUAUAAAGGCACAAGGCUGCAGGCUGAGUUAUACAGGGAACUCUGGGAGGCCGAGACGCGUUUAGCGUUGAAUCUGGUAUGGGAAGGUCGGCAGCCAAUCAGGGAGUGGAUCCGGUGGCAUCGUUGACUCCUCCCCCCUUUGCUCUCGAUUGGCUUUUGAUCUGUAUAUAAGUGCGGCUUGGCUCAUUAUCUCCUGCGGCAGCAACCGCGGGAGGUGGAAGAAGAGCUCCCGUCCCACCCACCCUAAUAUUUUGGUUAUGUUACUUUUAUUUGUUAAAAAGAAAUAAAUGAAUAAAUAAAUAUAUUUAUAUAACUGUCGCAGUGACUUAAGUGUAAGUGGAGGAAUAAGUGAAGCUCUGGGGCCUGGGGGUAAAGGCAGAGCUUUGGUGUACAUAAUGGCCACCGACUGGGUUGUUACCAGAGGUGGGCCUGGUCUUUGUUCAUGUAUUGGUUUAUACAGCUUAAAUUGGGCUGCUCGUGUCUAUGUGGCAGCAUUCUGUAAUAAAGUCCCUGAGGCCUGUUUUUCUCCAUUGAAGUUUCUAGUGUAUGUGGUCUUUAUUGCGAUAUUGAGUUUCAAUGCAUGUACGGUCUACCUUCCCAUGAGUAUGACUCAUGUAUUAUAAGGGAUAAUGUACCCCCCACUGUAAAUGAUAAGGAUAUUAGAAGUCACUGAGGGGUUGUUC